rnacentral:lncRNA from 13 species
CUCGGGCAGGCGCGGUACGGGCAGCCCGCGGGAAGGGUCUUGGCGUGUCCCUGAGGCGGGCGUUGAGGGAGGGCGCGGAAAAAGGAAUUAAAGGCGGAAUUAAAGCAGGAGUUAAAAGAGAAAUUAAAAACUCUGAGCCAAAACCAGGCGUGAGCGCGGCGCCCGCGGGCCUGGCCGCCCGGCACGGGUGCUGCGGGCGGCUGGUGACGCGUCCGUCCUCCACACGCGGCGGGUGGGCCCAGGCUGGGCAGAUCGUCAGCCGUGACCCCGCACCGGCUCCACCGCAGGCAGGCCUUGACAGCUGUCGAGGUGUCCCUGGCAAUGGUGAAACUUAAGUUACACCUCCGAGUAAUUUCUGUCUUCUGCCUUUUAGGUCUCUGGUAAUGGGAUGAAGCUGGAGCUGCCUGGCUCAGCAGCGUGUCAGGAGCUAUGUCCUGACUUGGCCUGAACCAAACGUGCCCCUGGCAAAAUUAGGCGGGCUGACAUUGAGCUGGCCCACAACCAGCUGUCUGAUGCAGUCAUCUGGCUUAACUUGUUGGAAAUCCUGUAUCACAACAAUCCAGUAUUUAUGCUGACCUAUGGAAUUUCCUCACCCAGCGUGGGGGCAGCACCUGGUCCCAGUACAGGCAGUUUUGGGGGAAAACAGUGCCUGGACACGCCUUAUUUUCCAGCAGGGAUGCAACCUUCGUGCAGGAGAAUUUAUUUACACGGAGAAACGCUACAAGUGCUGCCUGCUGCCUCCCUCGCACUUGGAUGUGGACCUCGGCUAUUCUUCCAACUCCUCUCUAAAUGUGCUGAUGGAGGGGAGCGUUUCUGCGUCACUCCUUUGUGCCAGUGGGACACAGCACCUUCCAGGAAGCGCUCCGGAUUGCAGGAUCACACUCUGGGGAGUGUCUGCAUCAGGGUGCCAAAGAGCUGCUGGUGUAUUCUAUAAUUGCAGGGUAGUGAGCUCCACCCAGGACCUCCCUGCACCAUCUGGAGCUCAGCACCUCCCCAAAGCCUCUGAAGAAGCUUCUGCGAUCUGUCUUGGUCUGUUGAGGCCCUGCUGCUUCCUUCUCACUGCUCUACUUGUGUCAUUGGUUUCAGGAGAAGUAAGAUGGUUUAUUGUUGCUUGA